rnacentral:rRNA from 1 species
CCUACGGGCGGCAGCAGUGGGGAAUAUUGGGCAAUGGGCGCAAGCCUGACCCAGCAACGCCGCGUGAAGGAAGAAGGCUUUCGGGUUGUAAACUUCUUUUCUCAGGGACGAAGAAAGUGACGGUACCUGAGGAAUAAGCCACGGCUAACUACGUGCCAGCAGCCGCGGUAAUACGUAGGUGGCAAGCGUUAUCCGGAUUUACUGGGUGUAAAGGGCGUGUAGGCGGGAAAGCAAGUCAGAUGUGAAAACCAUGGGCUCAACCUGUGGCCUGCAUUUGAAACUGUUUUUCUUGAGUACUGGAGAGGCAGACGGAAUUCCUAGUGUAGCGGUGAAAUGCGUAGAGAUUAGGAGGAAAACCAGUGGCGAAGGCGGUCUGCUGGACAGCAACUGACGCUGAGGCGCGAAAGCGUGGGGAGCAAACAGGAUUAGAUACCCUUGUAGUC